rnacentral:lncRNA from 1 species
GGGAGCUUGGUGGGGAUCCGACUGGGAGGGUCGAGGCGUGGGUGGGUGGGAUGGUUAAGAGCAGUAGCUUUCCACAGGUCUGGAGGAUUGGGGGGCAGAGAGCGAGGGUUUGCCCUGGGAUUUUCGCCUGUGUGAGGGUGCACGGGGCACCAGCCCAAUUUCGACCGGUGGUUGAUGGGGGAUGCGCCCCGGCCUGCGGGCUUGGGGCCUGUGUUGCUGAGUGGUGUGGGGGUUUGCUGGGGGAGACUGGGAGCUCGACCAAGAUUGCUGCUGGUGCCCUUAAUGGAGUUGGGACCGUCCAGUUGAGGGAUGCUGCAGUGUGGGCGGCUU